UGUUUCGGGAGUUUUUAAACAGAAAGGAAAUUUUCUUUUCUCCUCUUUCCAUAGGCGACAAGAAAACAUAUGCUGGCAGAGAUGAGACUGCACAAGAAGGAGACAUGGGUAUUCUCGAGAAAAUUAAGAAGGCUAUUUUUGGAUGAGCGUCUGCACCGUUUAGGCUUUAUAUUAAGGAAAAACUGCAAUGGAUGAUCCAAGUGGUUUAGUGAAACAAAUACGAACUGCGCUGGAUGAAGCUGUGGUAGAACCAGUAGAAGACCAAAAUAAUAACAAAGCGUAGUAUCUUAUUUCUUCGUUCCCUGAGAGACGUUGUAUUUUGGGCCCUAUUGCAGCCUGUUAGCUUCAUCUUUUGUUAAAACUGGCAUCAAUAAAUGAACAUGU